AACGAACGCUGGCGGCAUGCCUAACACAUGCAAGUCGAACGCGUGGCUUCGGCCACGAGUGGCGCACGGGUGAGUAACGCGUGGGAACCUGCCCAUCGGUACGGAACAACCGCGGGAAACUGCGGCUGAUACCGUAUAUACCCUGCGGGGAAAGAUUUAUCGCCGAUGGAGGGGCCCGCGUCGGAUUAGGUAGUUGGUGGGGUAACGGCCUACCAAGCCUGCGAUCCGUAGCUGGUCUGAGAGGAUGAUCAGCCACACUGGGACUGAGACACGGCCAGACUCCUACGGGAGGCAGCAGUGGGAAUAUUGGACAAUGGGGGCAACCCUGAUCCAGCAAUGCCGCGUGAGUGAAGAAGGCCUUAGGGUUGUAAAGCUCUUUCGGCGGGACGAUGAUGACGGUACCCGCAGAAGAAGCCCCGGCUAACUCCGU
rnacentral:rRNA from 1 species